AUGACGUUCCUCUUUUUGCUGAGCAUUGCUGCCAGCGCUCCACUGCUCUCAGAGGAGAUUAUCACACAGGCUCCCGCCGACAUCAUUGAGGCGAUGGGGCGCUCGAUCUCGAUUGAAUGUUCUCACAACAUACCGAGCUACAACCAGAUUUUGUGGUAUCAGCAGCGUGGUGUGAGCAUGGAGCUCAUUGGGUACAUGUACCACACAACUUCCACGAUGGAAAAAUCAUUCGAGGACGUGGAGUUGAAUGGCAGCGCACAAUCCGGCAAAACGUGCAAAAUGGUCAUUCCCAAGCUGCGCCUGAACAGCAGUGCUGUUUACUACUGUGCAGCUAGUUACCACGGUGCAGACCGAGCUUUUUUCGGCGAGGGAACCAAACUCACUGUUUUAGAACCAAACGUCAACAUCACACUGCCUACGGUGACGUUAUUCCCACCGUCGGAACACGAGUGUGCCAAGGACAAAGAGGCCAAGGUCAAGACGCUGGUUUGCGCGGCUACUGACUUCUACCCCGACCACGUCAGAGUGGUCUGGAUGGUGGACGGUGAGAAGCGAGACAGGGGCGUAGCAACGGACCCCGAGGCUGCGCGGCGAGGGGUCUACUACCACCUCACCAGCAGGCUGAGAGUCCCAGCUCGCGAAUGGACGCACGAGAGAAGGAAAUUCACCUGUGUCCUGACGUUCUUCAACGGAAAGGAAAAUAUCAAAGUUGAGAAGUCAAUCAACGGCAAAGAAGGCUCAUCUGAAGACCAAUAUAACCGAGAGAGCUUCCUGAGGUUGACGCAGAGCGCCAAGCUGUCGUACGGCGUCCUCAUUGCCAAGAGCUGCGUCUAUGCCGGCUUCGUGGCAUUACUGCUGUGGCGGCUCGGGUCGUGA